rnacentral:rRNA from 1 species
UACAGAGGUCUCAAGCGUUGUUCGGAUUCAUUGGGCGUAAAGGGUGCGUAGGCGGCGCGGUAAGUCGGGUGUGAAAUCUCGGAGCUUAACUCCGAAACUGCAUUCGAUACUGCCGUGCUUGAGGACUGGAGAGGAGACUGGAAUUUACGGUGUAGCGGUGAAAUGCGUAGAUAUCGUAAGGAAGACCAGUGGCGAAGGCGAGUCUCUGGACCGUAACUGACGCUGAGGAGCGAAAGCAUGGGGAGCGAACAGG